AACGAACGCUGGCGGCAUGCCUAACACAUGCAAGUCGAACGAGACCUUCGGGUCUAGUGGCGCACGGGUGCGUAACGCGUGGGAACCUGCCCUUAGGUUCGGAAUAACUCCCCGAAAGGGGUGCUAAUACCGGAUAAUGUCUUCGGACCAAAGAUUUAUCGCCUUUGGAUGGGCCCGCGUUGGAUUAGCUAGUUGGUAGGGUAAAAGCCUACCAAGGCGACGAUCCAUAGCUGGGUUGAGAGGAUGAUCAGCCACACUGGGACGGAGACACGGCCCAGACUCCUACGCGAGGCAGCAGUGGGGGAUAUUGGACAAUGGGCGGAAGCCUGAUCCAGCAAUGCCGCGUGAGUGAUGAAGGCCUUAGGGUUGUAAAGCUCUUUUACCCGGGAUGAUAAUGACAGUACCGGGAGAAUAAGCUCCGGCUAACUCCGUG
rnacentral:rRNA from 1 species